UCCAGAUUUCCUUGACUUUCUAGCUCUUUGGAGUCAAGCAUGAAGCUCCUUUAUAAGGAGUGGAGAGAGAGGUAGCCACCAAGCUCAAAUCACAAAAAAUAGUUAGAGAAGCUAUGGAUCAGAGUUCUAAUGCCCCUAUGCAUCUCUGCCAUGUCAACAAGCUCACAAUCUUAAUUAAUCGAACGUAUACAGUUAUAUAUUCCGUCGCUUUAUCAUUCUUGCUUUACUAUAGAGCCUCUUUCUUCUUCCAUGACACCAAAACACCCAUCUUACCAUCUCUUAUUGUCUUUGCGGCCGAGCUCGUCUCUUCUUUCGAGUGGCUUCUAAUCCAGGCAUAUCGGUGGAGGCCAGUCUCUCGAACUGUGUUCCCGGAGAGAUUGCCGGAAGAUGACAAACUUCCUGCAGUCGACGUGUUCAUUUGCACCGCUGAUCCUGAUCUGGAGCCAACCGUGGCGGUGAUGAACACUGUAAUAUCAGCCAUGACACUCGACUAUCCACCCGAGAAGCUUCACGUGUAUUUGUCAGAUGAUGGCGGUGCUGAUGUGACUCUAAAUGGUAUGAGAGAGGCUUGGACGUUUGCAAAGCGGUGGAUUCCAUUUUGUAAGAGGUAUAACAUCAAGUGCAGAUCUCCAAAAGCCUAUUUCUCAGCAGCAGAGGAUGAGAAUGAAGAUGGUGCUUUGGGGGUUACUGAUUUCAUACAAGAGAGGCAAAUUAUUCAGGAAAAAUAUGAGGUGUUUAAGGAAAGAGUGAGAGAAUACGCAAGGCAUGGUGACACUGGGAGCAGUAAGCGUCGAGAUCAUUCUGCAGUGAUUGAGGUGAUACAAGAAAGUUCUAGUAAUCAUGCAUUUGAAGAGAAUGAGGCAAAAAACAUGCCUCUCCUUGUUUAUGUCUCUCGCGAAAAAAGACCUUCUCAUGCCCAUCAUUUCAAGGCUGGAGCUCUCAAUGUUCUUCUUCGGGUAUCCGGUGUGAUCAGUAAUUCUCCCUUCAUAUUAGGGCUUGAUUGUGACAUGUAUUGCAAUGAUCCAAGUUCAGCUCGGCAAGCAAUGUGUUUCCACCUUGAUCCCAAGCUCUCACCUACACUAGCACUUGUGCAAUUUCCUCAUAAAUUCCACAACAUCAGUAAGAAUGACAUCUACGACAGUCAGAUGAGAGAGGUGUUUUCGGUGCUAUAUCAAGGUUUUGAUGGACUUCAAGGGCCAUGCUUAUCCGGUACUGGCUAUUACAUCAAGAGGUUAUCCUUGUAUGGAAAAUCCCUAAAGGAAGAUCAUAAGGAUCUUUUGGAACUUAGACAAUAUGUUGGUCCUUCGAAUGAGUUCGUAAAAUCCCUGCUUGGAAACUACAAUCCUAAUAUGGAAAUGGCACAGCUAGCUGAGACCCAACAGCUAGCCUCUUGUACCUAUGAAGAUGGCACCAAAUGGGGUGAAGAGGCUGGUUUCUUAUACGCGUCUGUAGUGGAAGAUUAUUUCACCGGGUUCGCUAGCUUGCAUUGCAAGGGUUGGAAUUCAGUGUAUUGCAAUCCACCGAGGCCUCAGUUCUUGGGCAGUGGCACCACUAAUUUGAAUGACUUUUUGGUCCAAGGGACAAGAUGGAGUUCUGGGUUGGUUGAUGUUGCCAUCUCCAAAUACUGCCCUCUUAUAUAUGGCCUUUCUAAAAUGUCUUUCCCUGAAAGUAUGUGCUAUGCAUGGAUAGCAAUUUCCCCUAUUUGCCGGUUCUUCUCAGCCUGGUGCCUUGCAACUAUACCUCAGCUUUGCCUAGUCAACGGCAUUUCCCUGUACCCUGAGGUCUCAAAUUCCUUUUUUUGGAUAUUUUCUUUUGUAUUCCUCUUGUCUGUUUUGAGACAAUUAUACGAGGUCCUCACAACGGAAGCGUCAUUACAACAUUGGAUAAACGAGCAAAGAAUAUGGAUGAUGAAAGCAGUUACAUCUCACUUAUAUGGUAGUCUUGAUGCUUUUAUGAAGAAAUUUGGUUUGAGGGAAGCAAGUUUCUUCCUAACAAAUAAAGUUGAUGAUGUUGAGCAACUCAAGCGUUACAACGCGGGGGUAUUUGAUUUCCAAACCUCACCACAUUUUCUUGUUCCAUUGGCUUCACUGGUUAUCUUGAACAUGGCCUCCCUUUGUGUGGGCAUUGCCAGAGUAAUAUUUCUGGGGGAAUUAGAGAAGUUGUUUAUACAAGUCUUCAUACCAUUUUAUGCGGUGGUCGUCAAUUACCCUAUAAUAGAAGGAAUGCUAGUAAGGAAAGAUAGUGGUCGCAUUCCACAAUCAGUCACCCUAUUGUCUGCUACAGCUUCAAUCAUUUUCUGCGUUUUGGGUUCAGUUAUUGUCAUGUAGCAAGGAGGCUGCAAAGGAGCCUUUUUAUCAGAAUGGUGGCGGAAGAUGAAGUCAUUGGAAGUGAAUAGGUCGUCAUCUCCCUGCAGGUACUUUUGUGGGAGCUGAUCCUCACGUAAAACAGGGUUCUUAGUAAUGGCAUUUCUUCCACCUUGAGGUAAAGGAAGUGAAAACUGCAAACAGCCAAGCAUCAAGAUGCAUACAUCGUCAAGAGGAGCAAAGCUUCGUGUGAAAUACAAAAGUAAAGCAUCAAAGUGUACAUGCACACGUCAUCCGAUGGAGACAUAUGAGAGAUGGAUUAAGGGAUGAUGGAUGGAAUACCUUAUGUUUCCUAAUUCAUAAAUUAGGAUAAGUUAUUCUCACAUCCUAUUCAGUAACAACUAUGUGAAUAAAUUGCAUGCUUAUUGUCCCAGUA